GAGAGUGGUCUAACAAAUGCCUCUGUCAGGAUCAGCCACGGACAGAACUGCACCCCAGGAAAAACCCUAUGCUCCUCUGUUUUUACAGGUCUGAUGCCAAACUCAGAGCUGUGUCAUCUGUCAGAGCAAUUUGUUCUCAGGGAGGGAAGGAGAAGUUGUUUUCCAGCAGAAGCGGGUUGGCUGUGGCCACAGGAGCACACUGAAGCCUGUAGCAGCAGGGAACAGGAUUUAUCCUGGUGUGAUCCUCACACCAGCAGGAAGUUUGCAUCGGGAAUAUGCAGGGACCAUGAGAUGACAAGACUCAGAAAAACUAGUGAAGAAAACUCUCUCUGUGCACAGCAAUUGUACAAAGCAUUGGGAAGCACGCAGAGAAAAACUGCUGGAAGAAAAUGGCACAGUGUCUGAGUUUUGUAAGGAGAAAUGUAGCUGAAAUAGCCAUAGGCUGGAAGUGACUGGCUGCAAAUGGAAAAAAUCUGCUACACAUGUGCAGCUGAAACGCAGAGCCUGAGCAAGCCUGACUGCUCGCAGACUGGCUGAGAACUUCACUGAAGGAGAGAAGCCCAAACAGAUCCUGCUUAUCUAAACAAGAGGGUCCCAGAGGAGCUCCCUGGGCCUCUGCAGACAACCCCUGUCCCUUCAAAUCCAGGACGGACUUGCAGGUCCUGGAGAGUGUGCUGCAGUGCAGCCAGUUUGGUUCCUACCCACGGAGUGCUGUCUUUGGGACACCUUUUGGCAUUGACUCACUGCUAAGGAAGAAGCGACACACAAGUCACCUGUUCCACAAAGUGUCCCACUCACAGUGGUCACGUGGCACCAGGCUCCUGUCCCAUGACACAUUCUGGGUACAGCAACAGCAUGGCAUGGCCACCUUUGCCACAGAACCCCUGGAUGCAGAGCUCACGUGGCUGGUCCACCCCAUCGCACAACACCCCAUGCAGAGAGGAGCAGUGGCACCAGCUGUGGGUCCUGCAGUGUCCCAGGUACUGCCAGCCAUCAGCCUGUCCUGCCUGUCCCCAUGGCUUCAAAGUCAUUUGUGUCAUAAGCUGAGAGGUCUCAGGCUCACCAGACCUUCACUGUGAAGGCUUCAGUGCUUGGGGAUCAGAAAACAGCUGUUGGUGACGUCAAGAGCAAGGGGCACAGGAACUUGGUGUGAAUUAUCUUCUGCAUAACAAAGGUUCUUCUACAGCAUUUUGCAUCUAAUAGGACACCUUUUAAAGCACUAACAAACUAGAUGUUUCAAGUUCCCUUCUCUGGGGUCUGGAGCAUCUCUCUGAUGAGGAGAGACUGUGGGAGCCGGGCCUGUUUAG